CAAUGGGCGCAAGCCUGAUCCAGCCAUGCCGCGUGUGUGAAGAAGGCCUUAUGGUUGUAAAGCACUUUAAGCGAGGAGGAGGCUACUGAAGUUAAUACCUUCAGAUAGUGGACGUUACUCGCAGAAUAAGCACCGGCUAACUCUGUGCCAGCAGCCGCGGUAAUACAGAGGGUGCAAGCGUUAAUCGGAUUUACUGGGCGUAAAGCGCGCGUAGGCGGCUAAUUAAGUCAAAUGUGAAAUCCCCGAGCUUAACUUGGGAAUUGCAUUCGAUACUGGUUAGCUAGAGUGUGGGAGAGGAUGGUAGAAUUCCAGGUGUAGCGGUGAAAUGCGUAGAGAUCUGGAGGAAUACCGAUGGCGAAGGCAGCCAUCUGGCCUAACACUGACGCUGUGGUGCGAAAGCAUGGGGAGCAAACAGGAUUAGAUACCCUGGUAGUCCAUGCCGUAAACGAUGUCUACUAGCCGUUGGGGCCUUUGAGGCUUUAGUGGCGCAGCUAACGCGAUAAGUAGACCGCCUGGGGAGUACGGUCGCAAGACUAAAACUCAAAUGAAUUGACGGGGGCCCGCACAAGCGGUGGAGCAUGUGGUUUAAUUCGAUGCAACGCGAAGAACCUUACCUGGCCUUGACAUAGUAAGAACUUUCCAGAGAUGGAU
rnacentral:rRNA from 1 species